rnacentral:rRNA from 1 species
CGCGACCCCAGGAUGGGCGGGAU